rnacentral:rRNA from 1 species
ACUCCGAGUGCCCGUAAAAUCGGGCUGUCCAUCUGUUUAAUAACAGGUGAAGAAAGGGCCGGGCAAGACCGGUGCCAGCCGCCGCGGUAAUACCGGCGGCUCGAGUGGUGGCCACUAUUACUGGGCUUAAAGCGUUCGUAGCUGGUUUGUUAAGUCUCUGGGGAAAUCUUCCGGCUUAACCGGAAGGCGUCUCAGGGAUACUGGCAGACUAGGGACCGGGAGAGGUGAGGGGUACUCCAGGGGUAGGAGUGAAAUCCUGUAAUCCUUGGGGGACCACCUGUGGCGAAGGCGCCUCACCAGAACGGCUCCGACAGUGAGGGACGAAAGCUGGGGGAGCAAACCGGAUUAGAUACCCGGGUAGUCCCAGCUGUAAACGAUGC